AUGACCCACCACUACUGAAGAUCAAUGGCUAAACUAUGAACCACGCUGGAUCCAUGGUGGUGUCCCAUCUGGCUUCCUCCCAUCAGUGACACAACGGAGAGGAGACUGCACAUGACUGGUUGCCCUGCUGUAUCGUUUCUGAAGGCAAAGUCAAGGCUUCCAUUUGCUUCUUCUGAAGUAUAUUGAGUGAUACCAUGAAAUAAAGAUGAAUGAAUAAAUAAAUAAA